rnacentral:tRNA from 1 species
GCCAUAAUGGCAGACUAGUGCCUCGGACUUAAACCCCGACUAUGAAAAUAUUUUUCUUAUGGUA